rnacentral:lncRNA from 1 species
UUCGUUCAUCUAUCUAGGCUCAAGUGUAUGUAUACCAUGUUCAGGGGCAAAUUAACGUAUGGUCUCGUGCUGGUUAUUCUGGCCGUGGCAGCGUCAGUUGCCCUCCUUCAUCCUGGACUCCAUGGGGCUCUAAUGGGUAUAUCCAGAAUGGGUUGUUUCUCGAAAGGCUCCAUGGACUCCGCUUACCAGUCGGAUUUGCGCUUUCUUUCCCGGCUGGGCACUGGACGGGAGUGGUUGCAUUUGACAG